UUUCAUCACGAUAUGACUGAGAUAUUGCCGGUGUGACGUUAAAUAUUAACUCACUCACUCACUCAAAUUGGUUCAAAUCGGGACUGAGGAGGCCACUGCAUGGUCCGGAUGCCAUUAUGCUUGAGGAAGUCUCUUGUUGCUCUCGCAGUGUAGGCACGGGCGUUAUACUGAAACUUGUGGUUGUGGCGACGACGUGCCAAAUGAGGUAUGACGUGUGGUCUCUAGACUUGAUCAAUGUACUGAGCAGCUGUGACACCUCUCCCUGGAUUGAUGUUCUGGAAUACCACAGGCCCAACUCUGUGCAAGACCCAAUUCCACCCCGCUCCAUGAUGCUAGGGACUCUCAAAAACAUAAGCAUCUGAAUAACGUUCCGCACGGCGUCGCCAGACUCUCACUGUGCAUCUGCUGUUGAGAAACAGUAAUGACUCUGGUCUGAGGAGAGGACCCUUCUCCACUGUUGGUGGCGCCAAUGCAGUUGCUGUGUUGCCCACUGUAGACUAUCUUGACCAUGACGUGGUAUCAGAAUUGGUCCUCGGUGUGGCCUGCUGUGACAGUGGAGGUUACUGCUCGCCAAUUCAACAACGAAUGAAUGUUCUCCAUUCUGGGUGGAUUUUUAUAGGGUAAGAAAUGGGGAAACGCACGUCAUUUCAAUUUGCAUGGAACACACGUGCAUCAAGUUACCACGGUCGUUGCCAUAAUGCAUUUGGGUGAUCGGUUUUAUACUCACCUGCUUUGUUUUUUGUCAUCAAAUGGCAUUUUUCUUGACGAAGGAAUUUUACUUUGAACAUUCUUUGACAACAAUUACUGAGAUAUUUCAAUGACAAAUUUUCAUGCAAUUUUUCUUCAGGUGACGUUUCUUUUGCAGUUCAGUAUAUUUAUCAGUACCAUUAGAUGAUGGUGCCAUCACCAUGAUACAGCCUUUGUUGCAAUUACCAGCAUUCAGUAGUUAUUUUGUUUGAUGUCAUAUUUGACACAUCAGGGGUAUGAUGUCACAUGAACAGCUGAUCCCCCCAUUUCCAUCUGCUCCUCUGACGGUUGUCAGUACUGGAGGCCAGGUCUGCUCCAGAAUCCCCACAAGCUUGAGUUUGGAUGAAGCUGUUAUACAAAGUAUUUCAGAUGUGGAAACAACAUAUAGCCUCCUGUGUAGACUCCUGGAGGAUAGUUCCCAGCUUGUGUGUUUUCUAAACGUCAUUUUGAUUCCUUGGGUGCCAAAUUAUGGUCCUUGGCUUGUAAACGCUGUACGUAUACCCAUGGUUUCCACAAAAGUAGUAAAUGUAUUAGGCUGUCAAACAGCUGCAACCAUGAGACAGGUAAAUAAAAAAACAACAACACAUCAUUAGAGAAGAAUAUCUUUACCGCAUAAUUAGUGAUGGUUCAUUCCAAACACAAAGAGCUGCUGUGAAAUAUAGAUGGUUGAACAGGUUUACCAGUUUGGUAAAAGUGUGUGUAAACAUUGUGUCAGCAAGCAUUACAGGUUCUGUAUUUGUAGUGGUAGUAGGCUCUCCAUCUAGUGUUGGGAAUCGGAAACCAAAUCCACUAUUGAUUAUCGAAGGAUUGUGGUGAACGAAUAUCGAUUAUAACUGAAAUAUAUAUACAUUUGUAAUGUAAUCACCAAUUUUGUGGGGUUUUCCCAGGGUUUUCUUAAUUAAUGAUUUUUAUAACUAAUACUGUCCUACAAUGAAAUGCACGCAUGCAAGAAAGACACUGGAAUUGUAAUUAAACAAUAAAAAUGGUAAACAUUUUACAAUGUGCAUAGCUUUACACUGUUGGACGCAUGUUUGUUCGUGAAUAUUUGUCAAAUUUAAUGGUUAGUUUACUUCAUUCAGGUGCGUAAUACUAAAACGACAAAAUUCAGAUUAAUCGAAAAAAUUGCUUUUACAAUCGAUAAUCAUUUUUUCAAUCCUUCAUUCGAUCAAUUUUCGAUCAUCGGAACACCACUAUCUCCAUUGGAGGAAGAUUUCCUAGAUAUAAUCCCUCUUGUAGCUUAACAAGAUCAUCAUUUUGAAAUGUAUGCUUCAGAACUGACAAACAUGUCUAUCAAUGCAUACAGUCAUACUCUGAGCGAUAUUGUUCAAUGAGAUAUCCAUGUCAAUACAGUAAAAUAAACAAAACAUAAAAAUUCAACAAAUGUAUAAAACUGUGAGAAACCCAUUAGCCACCAAUAAAUCAUGAAAUGGAAACGCUGGCUGUAUGGAACACUUGGACACAACUGGUGUUUGUAUUGCAGAUCCCAUGGGAGCGCACUGUAUCGUACAGGGGAAUUCAUUGCUACCAGCUUCCUAUGGGGAUAAAUCCUUUAUACCAUGGGAGUGCACUGUAUCGUACAGGGGAAUUCAUUGCUACCAGCUUCCUAUGGGGAUAAAUCCUUUAUACCAUGGGAGCGCACUGUAUCGUAGAGGGGAAUUCAUUGCUACCAGCUUCCUAUGGGGAUAAAUCCUUUAUACCAUGGGAGCGUACUGUAUCGUACAGGGGAAUUCAUUGCUACCAGCUUCCUAUGGGGAUAAAUCCUUUAUACCAUGGGAUUCAUAUCAUGUAUUCCCAUAUGAACUUGACCCUUUGUAGCCAUUACUUAUAGCACACUUCACAUUGUUAGCAUGUUCAGAGUAAGGACAAGGUUCUAAUUAAAAAGCUUAUUAUAAUAUAGAUGCGGUAAAUACAGCUGACUAAACACUGCACCAUUAACUCAACCAGACCCACCAUUUGUUCUGUAUAUGUGUCGCUCAACAACUACUUUCAAUUAUCAUCAUAAGCAGUAUCACGGAUUUUCAGCACUGCUAUUAUGAAAUGUAUUCCCAAUGUUUCAGAGGAUAUCAAGAGAGUUAUUCUUGAACGUAACUUAGAUACAAUUGUACAGAUCUACAUCUCAGACCUACUAUGGGAGAUAAAUGUCACCAAUUUCUGAUCUAUUCUUCUUGUUGCCUUGUGCUGAACAUCGAAAACAUCUGACUUUCAAAAGUGAUUAUUAGCUGCAUCAUAAUUAUGCACUUUCUUUGUCAACAUCUCUACACAUAUUCCUCGUACAUGUUGUAGCCUGAGUAUGGUUGCACUGUUUGAGUCCUAUCUGUUAAUAUGCCCGGAACAAGAGAUUUAGUUGCACUGUAACUAACUAGUAAUUCCUUAAACACAUCACAUAACAUCCAACAUUAAACCUCUAACUUCAUGCAGAUAAUACUAAUAAUGUGAGUAUAAGCACACUUGCAGUAUAUUCAGACCAGUUGGCGCCAUGAUACACGGCAUGUCUACAGGGAUCAAUCUAGCACUCCAUGGUGCAUUUCGCUGAUUGUAGCAGCUGGGACAACUAUAUGCCUAUCAACAGCUGAGUCAGGGAUUUCUCUAAAACAGUUCAUAGGCUGGUAUCACGUCUUCAGAAAACUCCAUAGAUUGGAA